GGACUCAUAGCUCAGCUGGAUAGAGUACUCGGCUACGAACCGACGCGGUCGGAGGUUCGAAUCCUCCUGAGUCCG
rnacentral:tRNA from 1 species